rnacentral:rRNA from 1 species
UACGUAGGGGGCAAGCGUUGUCCGGAAUCAUUGGGCGUAAAGCGCGUGUAGGCGGUUCGGUAAGUCUGCUGUGAAAGUCCAGGGCUCAACCCUGGGAUGCCGGUGGAUACUGUCGGACUAGAGUACGGAAGAGGCGAGUGGAAUUCCCGGUGUAGCGGUGAAAUGCGCAGAUAUCAGGAAGAACACCCGUGGCGAAGGCGGCGUCCUGGACCAACACUGACACUGAUGAGCGAAAGCCAGGGGAGCAAACGGG